rnacentral:rRNA from 1 species
UACGUAGGGUGCAAGCGUUGUCCGGAAUUAUUGGGCGUAAAGAGCUCGUAGGCGGUUCGUCGCGUCGGCUGUGAAAUCCCGAGGCUCAACCUCGGGUCUGCAGUCGAUACGGGCGGACUGGAGUUCGGCAGGGGAGACUGGAAUUCCUGGUGUAGCGGUGAAAUGCGCAGAUAUCAGGAGGAACACCAGUGGCGAAGGCGGUGCUCUGGGCCGGUACUGACGCUGAGGAGCGAAAGUGUGGGGAGCGAACAGG